rnacentral:rRNA from 1 species
AGUGAACGCUGGCGGCGUGCUUAACACAUGCAAGUCGAACGAGAACGGAUUAUAGCUUGCUAUAAUUGUCAGCUAAGUGGCGCACGGGUGAGUAAUGUAUAGGUAAUAUGCCUCUUACUAAGGGAUAACAAUUGGAAACGUUUGCUAAUACCUUAUACUCCUUAUUAACAUAAGUUAAUACGGGAAAGAUUUAUUGGUAAGAGAUUAGCCUGUAUUGUAUCAGUUAGUUGGUGGGGUAAUGGCUUACCAAGACUAUGACACAUAACUGGUUUGAGAGGAUGAUCAGUCACACUGGAACUGAGACACGGUCCAGACUCCUACGGGAGGCAGCAGUGGGGAAUAUUGCACAAUGGACGAAGUCUGAUGCAGCAACGCCGCGUGGAGGAUGACACAUUUCGGUGCGUAAACUCCUUUUAUAUGAGAAGAUAAUGACGGUAUUAUAUGAAUAAGCACCGGCUAACUCCGUGCCAGCAGCCGCCGUAA